UCCGUAGGUGAACCUGCGGAGGGAUCAUUACCGAGUUUACAACUCCCAAACCCCAAUGUGAACGUUACCAAACUGUUGCCUCGGCGGGAUUUCUGCCCCGGGCGCGUCGCAGCCCCGGACCAAGGCGCCCGCCGGAGGACCAAUUUACAAACUCUUUUGUAUAUCCCAUCGCGGAUUCUUUACAUUCUGAGCUUUCUCGGCGCUCCUAGCGAGCGUUUCGAAAAUGAAUCAAAACUUUCAACAACGGAUCUCUUGGUUCUGGCAUCGAUGAAGAACGCAGCGAAAUGCGAUAAGUAAUGUGAAUUGCAGAAUUCAGUGAAUCAUCGAAUCUUUGAACGCACAUUGCGCCCGCCAGUAUUCUGGCGGGCAUGCCUGUCCGAGCGUCAUUUCAACCCUCGAACCCCUCCGGGGGGUCGGCGUUGGGGAUCGGCACUUACCUGCCGGCCCCGAAAUACAGUGGCGGUCUCGCCGCAGCCUCUCCUGCGCAGUAGUUUGCACACUCGCACCGGGAGCGCGGCGCGUCCACGGCCGUAAAACAACCCAAACUUCUGAAAUGUUGACCUCGGAUCAGGUAGGAAUACCCGCUGAACUUAAGCAUAUCAAUAAGCGGAGGA
rnacentral:rRNA from 1 species